UUCCAUGAUUCACUGCUAAUCGCUGCC
rnacentral:piRNA from 1 species